AGCUGGUAACGAAAAAUCCCUCUUAAAAGAAGAAGCAACUAUGUUCAAUGGUUACUUCCUAAAAAAAACGACAAGCAACCCUAGAAGCUGCCGCAACAGCUAUAAAUACAAACAGAACACACUCACACGCAUCUCCAAAGCUUCGACACCUUUCUUCUUCAUACACCAAAAGCACAAAACAGACCCUUCAACCGAACUACCCGCUCCAGCGGUUGCUGCUUCGCCGGAAUGCCAAUCAGCCUCCCAGACGCACCCCUGAACUGCUUGAUUUUGUUUUCGAAGUCGAGUACUCUGGUUUAUAUAGAAAGGGUUGAGCCGAGGUCAGUCCGAGAUCACGUUCGUGGUUCUUUCUAAAAUCCCGCUGUUGUUUUCAUAUUUUGCUGAAAGAGAUUAAUUACUGAAGCAAGCUAUUAUCAUAAUUCUCAUAUAUCGAAGAAGCCUUCUCUAUCGAGGUCCAUUUCUAUCUCUCUUCUCUAGUCUCAUAAGAUCUCGGGGAAUUAGAUAGUUGAUGAUGUCUAAAUAUCAAAUUUAAGCAACCAAGGUGCUUAUUUAUGGCCUACUCUUUCUGAUUCGUGGCCUCUGUUUGUGGUCCUUAUUGUCACGUGAAGGAUUUAGUAUGCAAUUUCUUCUUCUAUUUAUUUUGCUUGUUUCGAUCGUUAUAUUUGAUAAUUUGUAUAGCUUUCAAAAUGUCCUGGUUUAGCUAACUUUCAAUGGUAUUGAAUCAUAUCAGCUUC
rnacentral:lncRNA from 1 species